UGCAGUCGAGCGGUAGCACAGAGAGCUUGCUCUCGGGUGACGAGCGGCGGACGGGUGAGUAAUGUCUGGGAAACUGCCUGAUGGAGGGGGAUAACUACUGGAAACGGUAGCUAAUACCGCAUAACGUCGCAAGACCAAAGUGGGGGACCUUCGGGCCUCAUGCCAUCAGAUGUGCCCAGAUGGGAUUAGCUAGUAGGUGGGGUAACGGCUCACCUAGGCGACGAUCCCUAGCUGGUCUGAGAGGAUGACCAGCCACACUGGAACUGAGACACGGUCCAGACUCCUACGGGAGGCAGCAGUGGGGAAUAUUGCACAAUGGGCGCAAGCCUGAUGCAGCCAUGCCGCGUGUGUGAAGAAGGCCUUCGGGUUGUAAAGCACUUUCAGCGGGGAGGAAGGCGUUGAGGUUAAUAACCUUGGCGAUUGACGUUACCCGCAGAAGAAGCACCGGCUAACUCCGUGCCAGCAGCCGCGGUAAUACGGAGGGUGCAAGCGUUAAUCGGAAUUACUGGGCGUAAAGCGCACGCAGGCGGUCUGUCAAGUCGGAUGUGAAAUCCCCGGGCUCAACCUGGGAACUGCAUUCGAAACUGGCAGGCUAGAGUCUUGUAGAGGGGGGUAGAAUUCCAGGUGUAGCGGUGAAAUGCGUAGAGAUCUGGAGGAAUACCGGUGGCGAAGGCGGCCCCCUGGACAAAGACUGACGCUCAGGUGCGAAAGCGUGGGGAGCAAACAGGAUUAGAUACCCUGGUAGUCCACGCCGUAAACGAUGUCGAUUUGGAGGUUGUGCCCUUGAGGCGUGGCUUCCGGAGCUAACGCGUUAAAUCGACCGCCUGGGGAGUACGGCCGCAAGGUUAAAACUCAAAUGAAUUGACGGGGGCCCGCACAAGCGGUGGAGCAUGUGGUUUAAUUCGAUGCAACGCGAAGAACCUUACCUGGUCUUGACAUCCACAGAACUUUCCAGAGAUGGAUUGGUGCCUUCGGGAACUGUGAGACAGGUGCUGCAUGGCUGUCGUCAGCUCGUGUUGUGAAAUGUUGGGUUAAGUCCCGCAACGAGCGCAACCCUUAUCCUUUGUUGCCAGCGGUUCGGCCGGGAACUCAAAGGAGACUGCCAGUGAUAAACUGGAGGAAGGUGGGGAUGACGUCAAGUCAUCAUGGCCCUUACGACCAGGGCUACACACGUGCUACAAUGGCAUAUACAAAGAGAAGCGACCUCGCGAGAGCAAGCGGACCUCAUAAAGUAUGUCGUAGUCCGGAUUGGAGUCUGCAACUCGACUCCAUGAAGUCGGAAUCGCUAGUAAUCGUAGAUCAGAAUGCUACGGUGAAUACGUUCCCGGGCCUUGUACACACCGCCCGUCACACCAUGGGAGUGGGUUGCAAAAGAAGUAGGUAGCUUAACCUUCGGGAGG
rnacentral:rRNA from 1 species